GUCUACGGCCAUGCUACCCUGAACAAGCCUGAUCCUCUUUGAUCUCAGAAGCUAAGCAGGAUCGGACCUGGUUAGUACUUGGAUGGGAGACCACCUAGGAAGAUAAGGUGCUGUAGGAA
rnacentral:rRNA from 1 species